GAACAAGAAGCUGCUCACAGCAACAGGAAGAAACAUGGAAGCACCACCUCCAUUUGGAUGGAGAUUAGAAGUAUCUACAAUGUGCCAAACAUAGGGAGUUUAAUUUAAUUAUGAUAAAAAAAAAAUUGUGCACAAGGAUGUGGCCCAGACCGUUGACAUACAGGCGCCCGUUACGGCUGAUCAACGCGUCUCUGAAGGAACACAUCGGGCUCCUGCUUCCCCUUCCGGUCGUUGAGCUUGAGGUUGGGCCAGCGGACUCUCCUUCAAGGUGGGACCGGGCGCCUGUGGGCCGCACUGGGCGGCUGAGAGAUCUGCUGCUCAGCAGCCAGGUAUUCUUAUCGGCCAGCCCCCAAACACACACACAUACACACACACACACACACACACACACACACCCACACACACACACACACAGAUACGGUCCCCUCUGACCUGUGCAGUUUCCUGCCCCUGGCUGAUCUAUGAGUGUGGAGGAAGAGAGAAAAACGAGAGAGGGCUAUAGCAGAGA
ensembl:lncRNA